rnacentral:rRNA from 1 species
GUGAGGAAUUUUCCGCAAUGGGCGAAAGCCUGACGGAGCAAUGCCGCGUGAAGGAUGAAGGCCUAUGGGUUGUAAACUUCUUUUCUCAGAAAAGAAUUAUGACGGUAUCUGAGGAAUAAGCAUCGGCUAACUCUGUGCCAGCAGCCGCGGUAAGACAGAGGAUGCAAGCGUUAUCCGGAAUGAUUGGGCGUAAAGCGUCUGUAGGUUGUUUUAAAAGUAUUCUGUCAAAGAUUAGGGCUUAACCCUAGAUAGGCAGAAUAAACUUUUAAGCUAGAGGUUGGUAGAGGCAGAGGGAAUUCCCGGUGGAGCGGUGAAAUGCGGAGAUAUCGGGAGGAACACCAAAGGCGAAGGCACUCUGCUGGGCCAAUACUAACACUGAGAGACGAAAGCGAGGGGAGCAAAUGGGAUUAGAAACCCGAGUAGUCC